CAAACUGCCAUCCCUAAUGUGGGUGGACCUCACGCAAUCAGUUGAGGGCUAAAUAGAACAAAAAGGCUAAGUAAGAGAGAGUUCCUUCUGCCUGACUGCCUUUGAGCUGGAACAUUGGUGUUUUUCAGGCUCAAACUGUAAUACUGGCUCUUCUCAGGUCUUGAGCCUACUUGCCUUCAGAUUGGAACUUUACCAUCUGCUCUCCUGGUUCUCAGGCCUUCAGGGGAGUCUAGAACUAUGCCACUGACUCUCCUGGUCUCCAGUUUUUCAACUUCAAAUCUUGGGAUUUAGUCUCGAUGAUCAUGUGAGUCAAUUCCGUAUAAUAAAUCUCAGACAGAUAGAUAGAUAGAUAGAUAGAUAGAUAGAUAGAUAGAUAGAUCGAUAGAUAGAUCUAUCUUUCAUUGCUUUUGUUUCUCUGGAGAACCCUAAUAUAACCAGUAUUUAGUAAAUGUUUAAUGUGUGUUGAAUGACAAUUAUAGAGGAAAUCAGAAGUGGAGAGGAUGUAUGCAGAGGGAGCUGUGAGAAGUGGACAGCUGCCCACACUAACCAGUGAGACUAAAGACCCAGCCAAGUUCUUCAGGGAGAUUGCUUUGGUAGCUAUGGGAAUAAUAUGGACAAGCAAGCAAGUCAUCUGGACUCUUGAUGGGCUGAGAUGCCACGCUGGCAAGCAGGUGGUCAACCUCUAGGAGAUUCAACAAGCAUGCCUGUGAGGGUUCAGAGCGCUGUGUCAGGAAUGUGAUGGGAAGUAACAGGCAAAGGCAAAAUAUUACUGGUAUUAAGGAAAUGGCGUUAAAGAAAACGGACACUUCACUGUCUACUUGUGUCAGAGCUUCCCCAUGGUCAUUUAAUCUAACACGCCUGUAAGCUAAGUGUUCCUACUUUUUCAGAAAAAGAAAUGGAAACUAAGUAACAUGAAUUAACAUAGUCCAGGGUCACAAAGCAACAUGGAACAAGAACCUGGAUCUGAAUUCAGAGGCAGAAUGCUGGUCUAGUGAUUCUCUUGCCUCAGCCUCCCUUGUAGUUGGACUACAGGUACAAAUCACCAUGUCUGGCUCUUGUUCUUUAACACAUGCUUGUAGCUCAAAACUAGUAGAAUUCCCUCUGAUACAUUUGUGAACCUCUGCUCCUACUACAAGUUUUAUGCUACUGAAGUCAGUUGCCUUUUUC
rnacentral:lncRNA from 10 species